GCUUGUGUGUGAGAGUUGGAGAAGCGCGUGAAGUAGAGACAAAAAACACACUACAAGAGAGCCAUGCUAUGUGAGCAGAGAAACAACACGGACGAAAUUAUAGAGAAGACGAAGAAAAGAGGGGAAUAAAGUUUAUGAAAACUAAAGCUGUUGGUGAAGAUCGGCGAGUGAACCGUGGACAUUAACGGAGCUGAAUAAGAGUUUGCUUACUGUCCGGCGGCUCAGUCUGAGUGGAUCUCCAGUAACGAGGCCUGCUGUGGUGCAUCACUGAUGAGGGCGUCGGAGUGCUGGAGGUUUAAAGACGGUUUCAUUUCUGCAGCUUGCUUUUUGAUAGCAUUCAUGACUCUCAGAGGGACGGAAAUCUGCGGGACAGAACAGGAAGCAGUGAGUCCUGUUGUCACGCCAACAGAGCGGACGUCGGAUCGAAGGGUAGACGUUGAUGACCGCCUGCAGCGCUUCACAUCCAGCUCCAUUUAAACACCGCCGGUAUUCUCACAGGGGAUCUCAGAGACACUUGGAAACCACAGAGUGGGUCCGACAGAGAAAACCGGUGAUUUGAAGGAGGAUAAAUCAUCGGAGAUUGGGAUGCAGUGCGAGUCAAACAGAUGGUCCCCAUAAAGCCCGGUGUAAACCCUCCAGAUGCUGAGAGGUAGUUGCAGAUCCUCUGACAUGCAGAGGAAUGGAGGUUCUGGUAACGCUUGAAUCAGUUUACUGAAAGAGGGAUCCUGGCCCACAGCAGCAUUCAACCUUCACCGUGCUGAACCACAGACUGAAGCUCUGCUUUGCUCUCCUGCAUCCAGGGAUCAUUUUCUAUGGGAGACUUCAGCUGCAUCAAGCAAGCAAAGUCCCACCGCUGCCUGCAGUAUGAUCCAAGGCUCACCGCACUUGAUCAAGUGGACCAGCCUGUCUCUUUUGGGGAUUACCCAUCAAAGUGCCAAGCGAUGGUAACUCGAUGCUUCUUGCAGACAGUGAUUGAUGAUAGUUCUGUUUCAUAACAAAUCGCGCCCCCACAAGAAGUCGCGCACAAGUGGGAAAUGUUAAUUGAAAUGCUUUGUGUGCAAAGGGUUGUGAUUUUUACCAAGGUGUUACAGCAAUAAACUGAAGGCAGACGUGGGGGGAAGA